rnacentral:sRNA from 1 species
CAAUAGCCCUGAUAGUAGCGUAAAUCCUUGUGGGGCGGGCAUCUAUGCCCCACAAGAUUGAAGCGAAUAGCAGGAAAAAGC